UACGUAGGGGGGCAAGCGUUGUCCGGAAUUACUGGGCGUAAAGGGCGUGUAGGUGGGUAAUUAAGUCAUGGGUGAAAACUGCGAGCUCAACUUGCAGACUGCCUAUGAAACUGGAUAUCUUGAGGGCAGGAGAGGAAAGUGGAAUUCCUAGUGUAGCGGUGAAAUGCGUAGAUAUUAGGAGGAACACCAGUGGCGAAGGCGACUUUCUGGACUGUCCCUGACACUGAGGCACGAAAGCUAGGGGAGCAAACAGGAGUUAGAAACC
rnacentral:rRNA from 1 species